UUAAGUGACUAAGCGUACACGGUGGAUGCCUUGGCAGUCAGAGGCGAUGAAGGACGUAGUAACUUGCGAUAAGCGUAGAUGAGGCAGUAACAGCCACUUGAGUCUACGAUUUCCGAAUGGGGAAACCCACUGGCAUAAGCCAGUAUCAUUGAGUGAAUACAUAGCUCAAUGAAGCGAACCGGGAGAACUGAAACAUCUAAGUACCCCGAGGAAAAGAAAUCAACCGAGAUUCCGAAAGUAGCGGCGAGCGAAAUUGGAUUAGCCCUUAAGCUUUACAUGUGUUAGACGAACGGUCUGGAAAGUCCGACGAUACAGGGUGAUAGUCCCGUAGUUGACGAUGCAUGUUCAGUGAAAUCGAGUAGGGCGGGACACGUGUUAUCCUGUCUGAAUAUGGGGGGACCAUCCUCCAAGGCUAAAUACUCCUGACUGACCGAUAGUGAACCAGUACCGUGAGGGAAAGGCGAAAAGAACCCCUGUGAGGGGAGUGAAAUAGAACCUGAAACCGUGUACGUACAAGCAGUAGGAGCACCUUCGUGGUGUGACUGCGUACCUUUUGUAUAAUGGGUCAGCGACUUAUAUUCAGUGGCAAGGUUAACCAUCUAGGGGAGCCGUAGGGAAACCGAGUCUUAACUGGGCGCCAUAGUCUCUGGAUAUAGACCCGAAACCGAGUGAUCUAGCCAUGGGCAGGUUGAAGGUUGAGUAACAUCAACUGGAGGACCGAACCGACUAAUGUUGAAAAAUUAGCGGAUGACUUGUGGCUAGGGGUGAAAGGCCAAUCAAACUCGGAGAUAGCUGGUUCUCCCCGAAAGCUAUUUAGGUAGCGCCUCGGACGAAUACUACUGGGGGUAGAGCACUGUUAAGGCUAGGGGGUCAUCCCGACUUACCAACCCUUUGCAAACUCCGAAUACCAGUAAGUACUAUCCGGGAGACACACGGCGGGUGCUAACGUCCGUCGUGGAGAGGGAAACAACCCAGACCGCCAGCUAAGGUCCCAAAUUACAGCUAAGUGGGAAACGAUGUGGGAAGGCUUAGACAGCUAGGAUGUUGGCUUAGAAGCAGCCAUCAUUUAAAGAAAGCGUAAUAGCUCACUAGUCGAGUCGGCCUGCGCGGAAGAUGUAACGGGGCUAAGUUGUAAACCGAAGCUGCGGCAAUGUUCUAUGAACAUUGGGUAGGGGAGCGUUCUGUAAGCCGUUGAAGGUGUGUUGUAAAGCAUGCUGGAGGUAUCAGAAGUGCGAAUGCUGACAUGAGUAACGACAAGGGGGGUGAAAAACCUCCCCGCCGGAAGACCAAGGGUUCCUGUCCAACGUUAAUCGGGGCAGGGUAAGUCGACCCCUAAGGCGAGGCUGAAAAGCGUAGUCGAUGGGAAACGGGUUAAUAUUCCCGUACUUCUUACAAUUGCGAUGGGGGGACGGAGAAGGCUAGGUGGGCCUGGCGACGGUUGUCCAGGUUCAAGUGCGUAGGCU
rnacentral:rRNA from 1 species